GCCUGAAGACGUAGCACACCACCCUAGUGUAUGAACCUCGUUAAAUCUCUGUGUCGUGCGGAUCUAUUGUCUAUUUAUUUUUCGUAUUUCUUAGUGUUUGAUCUAACACUCUCUUGGGUCGUGCCUCUUGGAAGUUUUGAUCAGAGCCCAGUCUCUUGUGCCCUUUUUAUGAAGGCCAUUUACCAUCCGCGGACAUCGGUCCUUGAUGUUGGCCUUGGAUCGUACCCCUGAUGAGGUUGGCACAACAUCAUUUAUGGUAGGGAUCUCUUCCUGCUUUGGGCUGACUUGGAAGAUAGGUAAUGCUUGCUUGGUCCUUAUUUGGGAAGACCAUUGGAUCCCCUCCUUGCCAAAUCAGAUGUCUCCCUCUUUGAAGCCCUUGGGCUGCCUUUGAUUUGGGUUUCUGAGUUUAUAGAUCGUGCUAAUAGAUGUUGGAAUCAUGUUUUAUUAGCUACUCUUUUUCCUAUUCUAUUCAAGUGGCCAUUUUGAGUAUCCCUUCAAGCGUUUCAGAUUGUGAAGACCGCCUCAUAUGGGGGGUUUUCUGAUUAAAAGGGCUUACUGCCUUGCGUAAAAUCAAGCUGAUAGCCGAUUCAGUGCUCAUUCUUCUUCCUCUGUUUCCCACGGAUAUCAAAGAAUUAAAGAUCAGACUUGGAAAUUCAUCAGGCGUAAUAAGGCCCUCCCAAAGAUUCGGUCCUUUCUUCGGAGGUGGUGUGCGGAUGGGGUAAAUGUGGGUGAAGGCUUUCAACGACGGCACAUGCGGCUUGAUUCCUCUUAUGCUUGUUAUGAUAUGGAAAGCGAGUAACUCUCUUGUGCACAACAAGAUCUCCAUCCCUUUGGAGAAUGUUAUUCAUAGGGCCCUCAAUUCUUUUGCGGAUUUUAGUCAAGCGUCGACUCCUUUCAGCGGCCACUACAGCCCUCCUCUUCCCAUCAGGGUUGUCAUUGAAGGUUGACCCUCCGCUAUCUUUGAGAUCGUUUCCUAGCAGCUAAUCCUCUUUGUUAAUUCAAAGCACUUCAAUGCUGAAAUUAAGUUUCUCAGUUGUGGAAGACACCAUCCACCUCUCUUCUUUGUUUGUGGAGUGCAUCUUCCAUUUAGCCGCCGUCAUGGAACAAACCAUGUUGAUCAGUCCCUCUCAUGCAAGGCUUUCUUUUCCCUAUUCUAAUUGAGUUCUUUUGUAAUGACCCCUGACUUAACUCUAUUUUGCUCAGGGAGGUAUCCUAUGUAACUAAUUCCUCUUUCGAAGAUUUUAAUGAAUGAUGCUUCUUCUACCU